rnacentral:lncRNA from 1 species
CAGCUGAACUCCCAAAACUUCCUGGGUGUAAAGGAACCAAAGGCAAGUGAGCUGCAAAUAGCAAUCUCUGCCUCUCCCCAAAUAAAUCCUCCCAAGGCUCACACUCAAGAUUUGUGAAAGUUCCAACUCCUCCGGCGGGUGAAAUGCCACCUCUUAAGUGGUCAUCUAGCCUUGGUGGGGGUGCAUCUAGCCAAGGAGACCCCACCUUUCCCAAGAUGACGACAUACCUAAUUUUGCAUAGCACCUGAGAUUGUAACUAAGGUGGUGGGAACCCUUGGUGACUUGCUGUGUUGUGUUGGCCAGUGUUAACACUCACUUCCCCUUAACAGCCCUCCAAACCCAAAAGGCUAUGUCAAAUCCAGUCCCAGUUCCCAGUUCCUUGUGACUGAGCCCCUCACCCCGCUGGACAUUCCUCUCCAAGCAGGCAGUGCUUCCUUAUACCCUCCCCACACGGGUAGGUGUUGAGAGGCCAGUACUGAGGUAAAUUUCUUUCUUAUGGGCAAAAUGAGCCCAAGGCACCCCAAUAAAAGAACUCACUCAAAUCCAAGCCUGCAAGUGUGCCAAGUGCUAGGUCCUCUUUUAUCAUUUUGGCACCCCAAACACCAUCCAAAGGAAUGAAGAGCACAGGCUGGACGGGGCGGACUGGAAGGCCCUGAGCCUUGGCUCCCCAGAAGAACCGCAGAGGCCACACAAGUGUCGGCAAGGCUGGGCCCGCUGCUAUUCAGCCAACAACUAACACACUGCACAGUCUUUUCAGAAGUAAUACAGCAGGAAGUACAGGCUCCUUUGCAGAAAACCUCCACCCCGUCCCCUCUAAGCGCAGCAAACUGCCAGCAUCAAGGAAGGGAGCUAUAGGCUUAGCUUAUAGGGAUGAGAGAUGCCGCCACCCACAGCCACAGCCCUCUCUCUCCGCCUCCCCCUACCCAGGACUUGCAAGGUAUACAAGGGGAGAACCUUACUGGCAAAGUCAAACCAAAACCAAGUAAAACCAGCUCCACCAUCAAUGUUUCUUGAAAAAACGGGGUUUAUUGAUUUUUAAACUGCAAAUAGUCGUUACAAAAAGUUUUUUUUUCUUUUAAAUAAAUUCACACAAAGAAAGAGAAAUAGAAAGCGACGGUAGUGACCAGCAAGAGGAAUAAUAAUUACAUUCUCAGUCCUAGUUGUG